rnacentral:rRNA from 1 species
GUGAGGAAUAUUGGUCAAUGGGCGCAAGCCUGAACCAGCCAUGCCGCGUGCAGGAAGACGGUCCUAUGGAUUGUAAACUGCUUUUAUUUGGGAAUAAACCUCCUUACGUGUAGGGAGCUGAAGGUACCAAAUGAAUAAGCACCGGCUAACUCCGUGCCAGCAGCCGCGGUAAUACGGAGGGUGCAAGCGUUAUCCGGAAUCAUUGGGUUUAACGGGUCCGCAGGCGGUCAUAUAAGUCAGUGGUGAAAGCCUACAGCUAAACUGUAGAACUGCCAUUGAUACUGUAUGACUUGAAUUCGAUCGAAGUGGGCGGAAUGUGACAUGUAGCGGUGAAAUGCUUAGAUAUGUCACAGAACACCGAUAGCGAAGGCAGCUCACUAGGUCUGGAUUGACGCUCAGGGACGAAAGCGUGGGGAGCAAACAGGAUUAGAAACCCUGGUAGUCC